GGUUUUGAUCCUGGCUCAGAUUGAACGCUGGCGGCAUGCUUUACACAUGCAAGUCGAACGGCAGCACGAGUGCUUUGCACUUGGUGGCGAGUGGCGAACGGGUGAGUAAUACAUCGGAACGUGUCUUAGAGUGGGGGAUAACGCAUCGAAAGAUGUGCUAAUACCGCAUAAUCUCUAAGGAGAAAAGUAGGGGAUCGAAAGACCUUGCGCUUUNGGAGCGGCCGAUGUCUGAUUAGCUAGUUGGUAGGGUAAAGGCUUACCANGGCAACGAUCAGUAGUUGGUCUGAGAGGAUGGCCAACCACACUGGGACUGAGACACGGCC
rnacentral:rRNA from 1 species